rnacentral:rRNA from 1 species
GACGAACGCUGGCGGCGUGCUUAACACAUGCAAGUCGAACGGGCCUUGUCCCCUUUUUUUUGGGGGUGGGGUUAGUGGCGAACGGGUGAGUAACACGUGAGUAACCUGCCCCUCACUUCUGGAUAACCGCUUGAAAGGGUGGCUAAUACGGGGUGUUCUGGCCUGCUCGCAUGGGUGGGUUUGGAAAGAUUCGACCGGUUUUGGUUGUUUUGGUGGGGGAUGGGCUCGCGGCCUAUCAGCUUGUUGGUGGGGUGAUGGCCUGCCAAGGCUUUGACGGGUAGCCGGCCUGAGAGGGUGGGCGGUCACACUGGGACUGAGACACGGCCCAGACUCCUACGGGAGGCAGCAGUGGGGAAUAUUGCACAAUGGGCGCAAGCCUGAUGCGGCGACGCCGCGUGAGGGAUGGAGGCCUUCGGGUUGUGAACCUCUUUCGCCAGUGAAGAAGGUCCUGCUCUUUGUGGUGGGGUUGACGGUAGCUGGGUUAAUGAAGCGCCGGCUAACUACGUG